rnacentral:sRNA from 1 species
UGAACAACUAUGCCAAUAUUCAGCUUUAU